rnacentral:lncRNA from 1 species
GGGGCUGGUGAGCAGCGUCUGGUCGGAGGUGAGCGGCACCUUGCGCGCGAGUACGUUCUUGAAGUACUGGUUGUCGAACUCCCCCGGCGUGACAGGGUCCAGCGGGACCGUCGUGGGGUCGCUCAUGUCGUCCGUCGACGGAGGGCACUGACGCUUCAGCUCGGCUGCGUAAGACUUCUCGAUGGACGGGUCGGUCCGGCCGACCUCGCCGGAGAAGUUGUGGAUGCGCUGCGUGAAGGAGGAGCAGUGGGAGCGACCGAUGGUGUGUGCACCGGAGAGCGUGACCAUGUCGUCCGCGGAGAGUCCCUUGCGCUUGAAGCUGGCCACUAGCUCCGCGACCUCGUCGGUCGGGAAUGGCACGUUGUUGUUGAGCACCUCGUCGGCGAUAGACACACGGCCGUCACGGCGACCAGACGGGACGCGGUAGUUGAUGCCGCCGGCGAGGUAGGCACCGUCGCGCGCCGCGAAGGCGAGGACGUCGGCGCAGGAGACGGUGCGCGGGCAGCUCGCCUCCAGGGCCGUCUUGGCCUCGUCGAUGACCUCGAAGCCACGCAUGCUCGGGUUGUUCGCCACCGAGUCCUUCUCCGCGGUGUUCCCCGGCGUCGAGUUGAUGAGCAGCGAGCCAUCGCAGCCCUACACGUGUGGAAGAGCAUAAAAAUCAACGGUCAGAUCAGGGACAUGCAUGCACACACGUUGCACUGACAAGGUUGAAUGAGCCGUGAAUGGAGUAGGGGUGCAUGGUGAUCGCUUACCCUGACGAAGCAGUCAUGGAAAUGCAUGCGGAUGAUGCCGGCGGCGAGGCCCGGGUUGCGGGCGACGGCGCGGCGGACGGCGUCGCGCACGAUGUACUCGGCCUGCGGGCACGUGUGCUCGUAGAACCCGACCUUCAAAAACUUGGACGGCGGAGGCGACGCGUCCGCCACCGCCGAGAAGGCGGCCGCAACGAGCAGCACCGCCGUUGCCCACGCAAACGUAAGAGCGGGGAACCUCAUGGCUGGAAGCUUGUUCUCGAAGCAACUAAGUAUGGAUCAGUUUUCACGGACUGCAGGUUGCCAGAGAUUUGCUGUGGUGAUGCGUUGAUGGCUGGGUGAAGUGGUGUUUAUAUAUGCAUUCGCAUUGUAGCAGUUGGGAAUAAAAAGCGGCACCGCGUGUUGCACCCGACUACGGAGUCAACUACAACUACACGACCAGAUCGUCGUUAAGAGUGGCCUUGUAUUAGCUGCUUACAUCCACCUAACUGCAGCUAAAGUAAACCCGCUUACUCCUGUAUGAACUAACAAAUCAUGUGGAUUAUGGGACCGAUUAUUGGUAUUAAGUCGCCUGAUUUCUUUUGGGUAAAUCGAUGGAUCCUUCCCUCGCAAGAAAAAGAGUCGAUGGUUCCUUGAUAGUUUGGCUUGUAGCUUAAGAACAUCUCUAACAGACUUCGUAUAAUGUUGAUCCAUAAAAUGCAAUAAUGGACAGGAAAACACUCACAAGCAUGUUUGGUUUCUGUGGUCUGCCAUACACAUAUAAUAAUGGACAGGAAAACACUCGCAAUAUUCAGGUCCGUUUGGAUCGCACGUGUGCGCAUGAAGCUUGGCGGGAUAUCUUUUCAGCGGUGAGGGUUUUUCAUCUUGCCAAGUCGUGCUCAGACCAUAGCCCCCUCUUGGUAAAAUUUAAGGGAGUUCAGGAGCAGAGAUGUUGUUCUUCUGUCUCGCGCUAUGAAAUGAUGUGGGAACGUUAUGUAUCACUCCCAGGUGUCAUUGCGGGGGCAUGGGCAACGCAUCGCCCUGUCAGCAAUUUCAGUUCGGUUGCCUCCUCGUUGAGUGAGGUGAUGAAGGAACUAAAACAGUGGAGUAGUGCGAAGUUUAGGAAUGUUCUGAAGGAGAUCGAGACUCUUCGUACACAACUUUUCGAGCUUCAAUUGGUGGGUUCAGACCGUGCUCAGAUUCGUAACAAAAUGAACCAGCUUGAUGAGUUGUUGUAUAGAGAGGAAAUGCUAUAGCUUCAACGCUCCCGUAUAUCUUGGCUGAAGGAGGGUGAGUGAAACACCAAAUACUUGCAUCGACGGGCAGUCUAGUGAGCUCGCAGGAAAUAUAUUCAGCGUCUGUUAAAAGAGGAUGGCUCUUGGUGUAAUGCUUCAACUGACAUGGAAAGGAUAAAAAACUCGGACAUGAUGUUUUUGCACCCGAGCUAAAAUGAGCUCGGGCGAACAGUAAAUUCAAAAAAAAAGUAAAAAUGUUCAAAAAAAUUUGAAUUUUUUCUGGACAAACUUUGACAAAUUUUCUAAGUGCUCACAAAAUUUCAUCAUGAAAUCACAUUUUUAGAAGUCGUGGUAAAAAAACAAAAUCGAAACUCUGAAAAUGCUACUUUCGAAAGCAUUUUGGAACAUCGAUUUUGUUUUUUUUGUCACGAUUUCCACAAAUGUGAUUUCGUACUGAAAUUUUGCGAGCUAUUAGACAUUUUAUCAAAGUUUACUGUAAAAAAUAUCCAAAUUUUUUAAAACAUUUUAGUAAUAUUUUUUGAAUUUACUGUUCACCCGAGCUCAUUUGAGCUCGGGUGUAGAAGAGCACUUUCCGACAAACUUCUACUUUAGGCUUUGUUUGGUAGAAGUGGAUUGGGGAGGUUUGGGGAGGAGGGGAUUUGGUGAAUCCCUUCCUUCCACCCAAUCCUCUCAAAUCCUCGGGGUUUUGCUUCCACUAGUCCAUUGAGGAGGAUCCGGAAACACAUGGAUAUGAAGGGAUUGAAGGAGAACGAAGGAGAUUCGGUUAAGCAAACCCCUCAUAUCAAAUGGGUGCCCGACGUUCUGUGGGGUUUCUGACCCUCUCGGGGAUUUUCCUCUCGAAACCUCCUUAAUCCCUCCGUGCCAAACGAGGCCUUAAGGAGAUUUUUACAAAGGACCCAACACUUGCCGCAGGUGAAGUCCUUGACUGUAUCACGCGGCGAGUUACAGUGCAGAUGAACGAGUCUCUGUGUAAACCUUAUAGAGAGGAGGAAAUUUCUAAUGCCCUAUUUCAGAUUGGUCCUUUGAAAGCCCCAGGAUGUGAUGACUUUCCUGCCCGGUUUUGUCAAUGAAAUUGGUCGGUGCUCAAGGAUGAAAUUGUUGCUGCUGUCCUAGAUUUGUUUUAUCAUGGGGAUUAUGCCAGAUGGUGUGAAUAACACGACAAUUGUGCUUAUCCCAAAAGUUCCUCAUCCGAAGGAUCUCAAGGACUUUCGUCCAAUUGGCUUAUGUAACGUGGUGUACAAAGUUGUCUCCAAGUGUAUGAUGAACAGGUUACGGCCUUCCUCAACUAGAAGACCAGAUUGUCGUUAAGAGUGGUUUUGUAUCAGUUGCUCACAUCCACCUAACAACAGCUAAAGUAAAUCACAUGCUCGGGUUGCUCAUAUGGAUAACAAAUCCGAUGGAUUAUGGGAACGACUAUUGGUACUAAGUCGUCUGAUUUUUCUUGGGCAAGUCAACUUUUUGGAUCGUUGGAUUAAGUUCCAACGGCCUCCUUCUAUCUUCUUCCUCCUUGAGCCGUUCCUCCUCCUGGCUCCAGUGUUCUCCUGCACUCGCCGCCCCUGUCCCAACCUUGGGCGACGAUAUUGUCUAAUCCGAGUGGGAACCAAAAAUUAAAAGCGCCCUCCCACCUCUUCUCUGCUUAGGAUGUCAAGUGAGCUGCAUUGUCUCCGACUCUAGCUCGUUUCCGACUCGGCCUCAGAGUUGUCCUAAUUGUAAAUCCGGACAAUUUAUAAAUAGAUAUCUCCGUGAUGCAUGCAACACAAACAAGCUCACAUAUCUCAAAUGGAACACAUGGUAUUAUAAAUCUUUCAACAGCUUGAAAUUAGAUUGCACCUGAUCUGAGUCCUGAUCUAGAACUCUAGUACAUGUGUCAUGGUGUCUGUAGUUGCCAAAAAAGGCCCUCUGAUUUGUAGCAAGAUGUUUCCGUAACUUUAGUCUAUAUGUGCAUGCUUAGCACUCAUAUGUCUUCAGUCGAAUGUGGAUGCGCCUGUAGAGCGACAUGGCACCUUAAAUUAGGUGAAACACACGACACUCUCUGACGGCUCAUGAACCACGUUGCAUACGGUGAUGUUUUUUCGAUAAAGAAUAUUUCAUUUAACUGAUAUAUCGAGGUAAUACAACUACAAUGAAAAAAAUGCCCGGCCUCUGCAUAGCACGAUGCACACAGCCAACAAGUCCAACAAACCUUAAAAAAAUCAUUUUACAAGAAUAGUAAACUAGGGUGGGACUCAUCCUAUACGGAGAUUACGGUGGUGUUUCUUUAUCUAGGGACUAGACUAAAAAAGUCCCUUUUAGUCCCUAGGUAAAGAAACAGGAGGGACUUUUCCUUAAGGGACUAGAAAAAGACUCUAUUGAAGGGACUUUUUUCUUUAGUCCCUGGGAUUAAAAAAAGUCUAGUCCCUUGAAAAGAAACACCACCUACACCGCCAUCCAUGUUGGGAGAAAACCUCUCUGGCCGUAUGCUCCAACCGUGUGGACGCCAUAAUAAAAAGAUCUAUGUCCUCUGGCCUCUGUAGGAUAGACCACGUACGGAGCCGUCGCCUACACGCAUGAAUAACCUGCAGAGGAGAUAUGACACAUUUAUUGUUAAAAACCACAUCAUUCCUGGUAAGCCACAAUGCCCAACAUAAGGCAGCCGCCCCCACGAGAAGAUGUGCCGAAAAUUAUUUAUCUAUUCUCCACAACCAAUUACCGAACAUGUUACGCGCACUACGUGGGGGAUAUAGAUUUGAAGCUACUUGAACUAUGGCCGAGACUGCACGAGCGAACUUACACUUAAAGAAUAAGUGUUUAAUGGACUCGUCAUGUUGGCAAAAGAUACAUGUCUUGCUACCUUGCCAAUUGCGUCGUGCCGGGUUAUCUCUAGUUAAGAUGACCCUUUUGUUAAGAAACCAAAGGAAUAUCUUCAUUCUUAGAGGGAUUUUUAGCUUCCACAAUUUGUUGUUAUCAACCGGAACAUCAGUGUAAACCAAUGCAUCAUACAAGGAUUUCACUGAAAAGCUACCAUUCUGAUACAAAUUUCAUUGGAAUUUUUCUGGUUCGCCUAACAGCUCAAUGGUCUCUAGAUGAAUGAGUAACUCAUUCCAUGCUACCAGGCGAGGGCCAAACAGGUCCCUACGGAAAGAAAUAUCAGGGUUUUCUUAUCCCAAUACUUGUUUAAUCAUGACGAAUUUAUGUUUGAAGAUCUUAUACAAGCUAGGAUAUUGCAUGAUAAGUGGAGUGCCCCCAGCCAAGUGUAUUUCUAGAAUCGAACCUGAGAACCAGCCCUAACCGGAAAGUACAAAAGUGGAAACAGAAUUCCUUGACCAUCACACCACUCCAAAAGUGUGAAUGACCAGGUUUCCAAUGAACUUGAGAAAUGGCUUUGGGCCCCACGUACUUAUUACGAAUGAUUUCUUGCCACACUCCAUUCUCCGUGAGUAGUUUGUACUCCUUCCGUUUCUUUUUAGUCUGCAUAUAAGAUUUGGUCAAAGUCAAGUGAUACAAAGUUUGACCAAAUAAAUAUCAAAAGAUAUCAACAUCUAUAAUACUAAACCUAUAUGCUAUGAAAAUUAAUAUCAUGAUGCAUCUACUAAUAUUGAUUUCAUAUUAUGAAUGUUGAUAUUUUAUUCUAUAAUUUCAGUCAAAGUUUAUAAAGUUUGACUUUGACCAAAUCUUAUAUGCGGACUAAAAAGAAACGGAGGGAGUAUAACCAUUUACUCAGAAGAGCGAUGUUUUUAAUCUUAAUAUCCUAGAUUCCAUGGCCCCCUUGACUUUUAGGUCGGCAUAACACACUCUACCUAGCCGGCCGGUAUAUCUUGGAUUCAUUAUCACACUCCCAAAAAAAUCUGGAUCUAAAAUAAUCAAGACGCUGAAGAACCCCUUUCCGUAAGUGAAAGAACGACAACAUGUACAAAAUCAUGUUGUUGAGGACGGAAUUGAUCAUAAUCAAAUGUCCCCCAUACGACAAGAGUUUGGCCUUCCAACUGGUUAGACAUCUCUCAAGUCUCUCUUCCACGUGGUUCCACUCAGCGAUAGUUAAACGCCGAUAGUGAAUCGGAAUACCUAGACACUUAAUCGGGAACCGCCCUAGCUGGCAGCCCAAAAUCUCAGCAUACUUAGACGUGGACUCAAUCGCGUCGCCAAAGCAAAAAAGCUCACUUUUAUGGAAGUUUAUUUUGAGACUAGAGAGCUCCUCAAAUGUACAUAAAAGCAAUUUGAGGUUUCUUGCUUUAUCUAGGUCAUGAUCCAUAAAAAGUAUAGUGUCAUCCGUAUAUUGUAAAAUGGACAAACCUUCUUCUACUAAAUGAGGAAUCACGCCACUAACCCGACUGGCCACCUUAGCCCGCUCAACAAGGGUAGUUAGCAUAUUGGCCACAAUGUUAAACAGGAUAGGGGAUGCGGGGUCCCCUUGGCGAAGCCCUUCCUAGUCCGAAAGUAGUUGUGAACAUCAUCGUUGACUUUGAUAGCCAAACUACCUCCGGAAACAAAAUUCUCUAUCCAUCGACACCAUUUUGGUGAAAAUCCCUUCAUACGCAAAGUUUGCAAUAGAAAGGGCCAUUUGACUUUGUCAUAUGCUUUUCCGAAGUCUAUUUGGAGGAUGACUCCAUUCAACUUUUUACGGUGAAGCUCAUGUACAGUUUCAUGCAACACAACAACUCCAUCUAGUAUGUUGCGUCCUUGCGUAAAUGUUGUUUGAGUGGGUUUAACCACAUGAUCAGCCACCCCAUUCAACCGAUUCGUUGCGACCUUUGUGAAUAUCUUAAAGCUGACAUUGAGAAGUCAAAUCACUCUGUAUUGUUGACUACGACUUGCUUCCUUAGUUUUGGGCAAAAGAAUAAUUUCAUUGAAGUUUAAACGGUUAAUAUCAAGAUUUUCGGCAUGCAGUUGGACCAGCCGUAUCGGAUGGCAUGCAUCAUGCAAUGCAAUCGCAUUGUGUCGGAUGACAAAUUACCGAGAGAAAAGGGAAUUUGUUUUGUUUGUCGAUUAUCUGUAAGCACAACUGAGAUUGAAUAGAUCUCAGACAAUUCUUUCUAUAAUAAACAACCAAUCCCGAGGACGAAGAGAAUGUCUAUACGUACUCUCGGUUAGUGCAAAGUAUACCUUAAGCUUGUACUCCACGAAUCUGUAUGUAAAAAAAAAAGAUUAUCGUGUCUUUCUGACCGCGUCUCCGUUUGGAAGAUAAAUACAUGGUCGCCGCUAAUGUGCCUGAACUGUCACUAUCUGCUUAAUGUUACUCAAAAUUGGCAUUCUCAACGCAAUCACUAGCGUAACCGAUUGUGUCAUUGUGUGAAAACUACUUGUGCAUUUCUUAAGCAAGUUCAUAUUGAUCGAUACGGACAUGGGUUGACGGCUCGACGUGACUGGUGUUUAUGUAUGCAAUCACCGUGUAGCAGUUGGGAAAAAUGGCGCCCCCGCCGCGUAUCAUACCGAGUGAACAACAAAUACUAGAUCGUCAUCGUGUUGCUUUAAUAGCUGCUUCCAUGAACUGAAUGUAAAAAAACAAAACUAGCCAUGCUCAUUCCCAACUGUUUGAAUAUUUCCCAUACCCAAUUCAUUCUUUAGACGUAGGCCCUAUGUAGAUUGCAUAAUCUUUUUUUCUUUAAUACCGCAUUCACAUGGUUUUGAAGUCGAGACUUCUUGGCCCCGAUAUCAUAUUUGAAUUCAUGCUCUAGCUAAUUCAUUCAAAAGUUAAAACGGAUGCACAAAGGUAGAGAAUAUAUUUCUACAUCCUUCUCAUGUCUAGAAUUCAUAUAGUCAUUAGACCUCUUGGCCCUGAUGUCAUGUAAAACUGCACGUGCCAGCCAUAUCAUGCAAAAGCUCAAAUUGAAUUGACGGGAAAAUUUGGGUUAUGCAUUUAUAUUUUGACAAGUGAAACACUACAUUUCCGGUUGUUUGAUUUUUUCUGAAAAAAAUUGUUAUAUAUGAUGUCCAGUGACGAUAUGAAUAUUACUUUAUUGUUCUACGUAGAUUUAGAAGUACAAUCAAGGCUUUAGUAAACUAAUCUAUCGGUGUGCCGCGAACAAUUACGAUGACGAAGAAGAUGUCUUUGCUCCGGGUAAUACAUUCUCGGGAAGGUAUGUGUGCAGUGUGUAUAUAUGUAUGCAAAUCUAAUAACCUUUAUCUCGGUCCCAUCUCCACCGACAUAAAAUUAUAUACGGAUAUUUGGUAAGAAUAUUCAUGUGUUACUAUCUGCUUAAUGGUACCCAAACUUUGUAGUAUUAGCAACACAAUUAAUCAUUUCACGCACAACAGAGUUGUCAACAACCAAAAGUAAAGGAAUGUGGGAAUGCAUGUUAUUGUUACGUUUUGUCCCGUAGACUUCUUCAGCGAAACAGAAAAGCUUUUGUGGCUAAAUUCUUGACACGGUCUUCUCUUAGUCGCACUGGUUGCCCGGGGCAAAUUCGUGCUAGUUUGGACGAUCUACGUGAGUUGUCUAUGAUUUUGUUCUAGAAGUUUUGCCGCCCUUCUUUGUAGCGACAUGAAUUGUCUGUUAGUUGGUCUCUUUUGUUUUCAUUUAUCCUUGAGCUUGCAAGCACACAUUUGUCAAAACUCAUAACAUCAUCUCUCCCUGUAGCUGCAUUGAUUGACCGACUAGAUAAAUGGAUAUUAUAUAAAUGCAGCUACUAUUCUCCAAAGGUGGCAGCAGCUAGUAGAGUACACAGUACACGUACACGUCUUAGCUUCUGAUUUUUCUCGCUACGAAUUAAUAACACAGUGAAACAUGUCAACCUUUUACCAUGUCAAAUUAUUUCCCUGCUCCAAUAAUUGAUAAAAUCAACUGGAGUUUUUAUUACAUUAGUUACUACAUCCGUCCAGAUGUACUAUACAUCCUACACAUAGUUUUAGUUCAAAAAUUUAACAAGGCAAAUAUGUAUUAUAUGUGACAAAAGAAAUAUGUUUACAAACUACAUUCACACAUGGAUCUAGCUAUAUUUUUUUGAUAGCAUAUAACACGUAUUUAGAUAGUCAAAUCCAUGAACUACGUACAUGUCCUUUACGCCCCGACGGAGGGAGUACCUUGUCGAUCGUAGCUAGAGUAGCCUCCAAGGUAGUACGCUGUACUAGUUUUUUCUUUUUAGUAAUACUAUAUCCCAUCUAACCAUUUCUUCUAAUCGGAUGUAUAUGAUGUGUAGUGUGUUCGUUCACUUAUCUCAUUCCAUGUUUACUUUAUAUUAAAAUAUCUAAACCAUCUUUUAAUUUGAUGUGGAGGCAAAAGCUAGCGGAUUCGUUCCUCUGUUUGUUUCAUGAAUACCAUUUUAAGUGUCAGCAACUCUUAAUUCUUCAGGCCCACAAUUGCGAAUCCUUCCACCACCCUCUCUUUGCCGACCCCCGCCCACCGUACUCAUGACAUGCUCACCAUUGCUCAUGCAUCCUCUCAGGAUGCCAAUACCUUUAAAACCUUCUUGGAUGACUUCGCCCUAGCCACGGGUCUAGCCCUUAACUUUCACAAAACAACUUUCGUCCCUCUCCAUUCCGCCCCGAAUGUCGCCAAUGAAAUUGCCUCAGUCUUAAGUGUUGCCAUGUCUCCUCCUUCCCACAAACGUAGCUAGGACUGCCCCUUUCGUACACUAAGCUCCCUUCCCAUUUUUAACCCUAUCAUGGAGACCUUCCGCAAAUUCCUUUCGGGUUGGGUCGACGAUCUACUCUCAUGUGGGGCUAGACUCACGCUGAUCUCCUUGGUCCUAGACUCUCAGCCUAUUUAUUUUAUGUCUGUUUUCAGCUGACCAAUUUUUUUUUGAAAGAGCUCAAUGUUGUUCGUAGGGCCUUCUUCUGGACGGCUGAUAAAAACUGCAUUGGGGCUCACUGUCUUGUUUAUUGAAAAAAUGUUUGCAAACCAAAAAAUUGUGAUGGUCUAGGCAUUAAAAACUUGCUUGUAUAAAGUAAUUGUCUACUAAUGAAAUUUUCUUUUAAACUCCUCCAACAACCAGAGUUGCCUUGGGCUCAAUGGUACCACUACCGAUACUCCAACACCAUAGCUGAUAGCACAUCCAAACCCUCCUUCAUCUAAAAAGUUGUAAAUCACCAGCUCCCUUCUCUCCAAAAAAUUUCCUUCGUUUUCACUAAUAAUGGUCAGGGAACCUUUUUGUGGCUUGACAUUGGAUCCACCACCAACCCCUUUACCUAGCCUUUCCCUACCUUUUUUUGCACGCAACGAACCCCACUGCCUUGGUCUCGCUUAUUAUACAGAAUGAAUUGCUAGCUAACAUGCGAAAUCGUCUUACUAAUCUUGCCAUUGUCAAGCUUGCUGUUGUUUUUGUAGAAAGAUAUGAUGCGCCUUAGCUCUCCAAUAGGAGGGCCGAAGGUUAUAUAUAUUGAUAUGGUGAUCGGUUGGGAACAAGGGAUAUACAUGAGAGGGAUAGAGAUAGAAAGUUAAACAUAAAGUUGUUACAACACACAAUAUCUAUCCCCACAAUAUCUCAUGUCUAACACCCUCUCUUAAUCUAAGUUUCUCAAGUUUAGAUUACGCUUAAAUUCCUCAAAUGGUCUUGUAGCUAGGGCCUUUGUGAAGCCGUCUGCAACUUGAUCUCUUGAAGGAACAAACCGGAUUUCCAAUUCCUUGCUUGCAACCCUUUCUCGAACAAAGUGAUAAUCAAUUUCAAUAUGUUUGGUCCUUGCAUGAAAGACUGGAUUUGCAGAAAGAUAUGUAGCACCAAGAUUAUCACACCAAAGACAUGGAGUUUGUAUAUGACAUAUCCCAAGCUCCUUGAGCAUUGCCUUUACCCAUAUAACUUCAGCUGUUGCAUUUGCCAAUGCCUUGUAUUCUGCCUCAGUACUGGAUCUAGAGAGAGUUGCCUGUUUCUUAGCACACCAUGAUAUAAGAUUGGGUCCAAAGAAAACUGCAAACCCACCUGUAGAUCUUAUAUCAUCCAAACAACCUGCCCAGUCAGAGUCAGAAAAAGCACUGACAAGUGUGGAAGGAGAUUUACUGAAGGUGAGUCCAACAUCCAAGGUGUGCUUAACAUAUCCCAAGAUGCGCUUAGCAGCAGUCAAGUGAGCUGAGGUAGGUGCAUGGAAAAACUGACAAACCUUAUUGACUGCAAAGGAAAUGUCAGGCCUGGUGAGUGUCAAGUACUGAAGUGGUCCUACCAGACUUCCGUAUUUUGUACCAUCCUCUGAAUUUAAAGGAACCGCUUCUGCAAGGGACAAUCUUUCUGCACUGGAAAGGGGUGUUGGUGACGGUUUGCAUCCUUGUAAUCCUGCCUUGUUCAAGAGAUCAGAUGCAUAUUUUACCUGAGAGAGAUGAAGACCCCCUUCUUUAUUUCUCUUGACCUCAAUGCCAAGAAAGUAAUGAAGAUCUCCAAGAUCCUUUAGAGAAAAUUCUGAAUUUAAAUCCUUUAGAAGGGCAGUAAUAGCUUCAUUGGAGGAGCUAGUAACAAUAAUAUCAUCCACAUAGAUAAGUACAAAGAUAGCUAUCUGUGACUUAUUGUAAAUGAACAAGGAUGUAUCAGACUUGGAGGGAAUAAAGCCAAGAGUGUGCAGCUUAGAACUUAAACGAGAAUACCAUGCUCGUGGUGCUUGCUUGAGUCCAUAGAGAGAUUUAUCAAGCCUGCAGAUAUGAGAUGAUUUAUGUUUGUCCUCAAAACCAGGAGGUUGCUUCAUAUAAACUUCCUCUUCCAGAACACCGUGAAGAAACGUAUUCUGCACAUCUAGCUGUCUGAGACUCCAUCCUCUGGACACAACAAGUGAUAAAACAAGGCGAAUGGUAGCAGCUUUAACAACAGGACUGAAUGUAUCCUCAUAAUCCAGUUCAUACCUUUGUUUGAACUCCUUGGCAACAAGUCUGGCUUUAUAGCGAUCAAUAGUACCAUCAGAUCUGCGUUUGAUGCGGUACACCCAUUUGCAAUCAAUAACAUUUUUACCUUGUCUAGGAGGAACAAGAUGCCACGUGUGAUUUUUCUGGAGAGCAUGAAACUCCUCUUCCAUAGCCAUGCGCCACUUGGGAUCAGCCAAUGCUUCAUCAACUGUGCGGGGUUCAUCUGUUAGAACAGAGGCAACCAGGCCAUACCUAGUUUUGUAGUUUGAAUAGUGCCAUCCUGGAGUCGCGUAUGAGGGGCUACAGAAUUGGUCACAGCCACAGAGGAUCCAGCCGCUGUCAACUGCUGCUGGUCAACCGGAUCAGUUGUGGCGGAGCCAACGACGCAGAGGCGGGUGAGGCCGCAGGGGAGCCGGACGAUGGCGCAGAAGAUCCAGGCAAAGAGACCAGAUCAACAUCGGAUCCAGUGGCGCCACCAGAGCCAGCGAUGUGUCGAUCUGGCCCGCCUGGUGCAGAGGACACAGGAACCGGCGUCGUGGAAACCGACACGGGCCGUCGGUUGUACACCAGCGGGACCGGCGCGUACCGCGCGGUCGGUUGUCGUGCAGCAGACGCGGAGGCCAGCGUGGGGGAAGGGCGACACGUGGCGUCAGACGGGUGGCUCGGGGCAGAGGAUGCUGUCGGUACUGGCGCAUGCAUGCAGGGCGUGUCCUGACGCGACGACAAUCCCGAGGAGGAUGCGGUCGGGGCUGACACGGGCAGGUGUGGCGAUCCCGAGGGGGGUUGCAGCAGAUCGUCAUGGGCGCUGAUUGGUCCUGCAGACAUGUACUCAGGUGUAGUAGAAGAUAGAUUAGUCAUAUUUUGGUUAGUACAAAUAUCAGCACCCGCACACGAGACACUGGAAAGGUUAGGUGGUAGGAGAAGAAUUUCUUUUCGAAGAAGUGCAUCAACAUUGGGGUGAAGAUGUGAAAACAGAAACUGAGUUUCAUCAAAGACUACGUCACGUGAGAUGUACACACGACCGGUAGAUACGUCAAGGCACUUGACACCUUUGUGUUGGGCACUAUAGCCAAGGAAAACACAUUGUGUGGAGCGAUACAUAAGUUUGCGAGUAUUAUAUGGACAUAGGUUGGGCCAACAUGCACAACCAAAAACACGAAGAGCGGAGUAAUCAGGUGUGAUAUGAAGAAGACGUUCUGUGGGAGUUUCAUGAGAAAUAGUCCGACUUGGCAACAUGUUAAUAAGGUAAACAGCUGUAAGAAAGGCCUCAUCCUAGAACUUUAAGGGCAUAGAGGCAGAACCUAGUAGUGCUAGGCCUACUUCAACAAUGUGGCGAUGUUUUCUCUCAGCACAGCCAUUCUGCUAAUGAGCAUGUGGGCAAGAGACAUGGUGAGAUAUGCCAAUCUUUUGAAAAAAAGAAUUUAGCUUCUCAUACUCACCACCCCAGUCAGACUGAACUGCAAGUAUUUACUAUUAAAUUGGCGUUCUACAAGAGCUUGAAAGUUAUGAAACACUUGAAACACAUCAGAACAUUUCUUAAGAAGAUAUAUCCAUGUGUAUUUGCUAAAAUCAUCAAUGAAACUCACAUAGUAUUGGUGCCUUCCAACAGAAGUGGGUGCUGGACCCCAUACAUCAGAAAAAAUAAGUUGCAAAGGUUUAGUAGAGAUGCUAAGAGACACAUGAUAUGGUAAUUGAUGACUUUUAGCUCGUUGACAUGAGUCACAAAUGGUUUCUGGAUUUCUCUCACCAACAACUGGGAGAUUAUUUGUACUAAGAAUACGAUGAACAGUAGCAAAAGAAGGAUGACCUAAGCGACUGUGCCACCUUUCAGCAGAAAGCUUGAUGGCACCAUAGACUUGUUUAUGGGCUUGGCAGUAUUGGGGAAGCAAAGCAUAGAGGCCUUGGACACAAACACCUCUAUGAAGAAUUUUCUUCGUGACCUGAUCCUUGAUCAAAAAAAAAGAAUGGGUGAAAUUGUAGAAACACAUUGUUAUCAAGGGCAAUACGAUGAACGGAUAAUAGAGUUUUGGAAGCAUUGGGAACAUGAAGGAUUUCAUUAAGGGCAAGGUUUUUGUGUGGGGUUUUGAUAGAUGAAUGACCAAUAUGACUUAUCUUCAUACCUGUACCAUUGGCAGCAGUGUAGACUUGAUCAUGGCCACGGUAUCUCUCCGGCAUGGACAACUUUUCUAACUCACCAUUGAUAUGGUUUGUGGCGCCCGUGUCCAUAUACCAAUUGGUAUCAACACCAUAGGACACAUCUGCUGCGGCUGCAAUCUUCUUGCUUUGGGAGUUAGGGUCAUCGGUAUAGCGCCAAUCGCAGUCCUCGGCAAUGUGAUUGGAUUUCUUACAGAUUUGGCAGCGGCCCUCAUAGCCGUCAUACCCUUGGAAGGGGCGCCCCCUGUUGUUGUUGUUGGGAGGGCGCCGAGUGUUGUUGCCACCGGCCGAGGAGUUCUGGUGAUAGUGGCCACCGCCACUGCCACCAUAGCCUCCGCCUCCUCCAUUGUUCUGAUGGUAAGGACCACCAGAACCGCCACCCUGGUGAUAGCCGCCACCGCCACCGUUGUGAUGGGCGCCACCAGAGCCGUAGUUGCCGCCACCAGGGGCGCCAUAGCCGCCGCCGUUGCCACAAGGACCACCGCCACCACUGCCUUUCUGGUUGCGGUAGCCACCUCUACCGGCGUUUGCGCGACCCCGGGAGGCCGCGUUGGCAGAUGACUUAAAGCCACCGGCGCCACCACCGUGGAACAUCUCGAUCCGUUGAUCGAAGUUCGCCACGAGGGAGAAGAGUGCGUCGAUGGUGACAGGCUCGGUGCGGACGUCGAGGGCGGAGAUGAUAGGCUGGUAGUCCAUGUCCAGACCCGCGACGAUGAAGGAGAUGAGCUCCCCCUCCCCGAGUGGUUUGCCCGCCGCCGCGAGCUCAUCGGAGAGGGAGCGCAUGUGCCCAAAGUAUGCCGAGGCCGAUUGAGUACCUUUCUGGGCAUUGGUGAGUGCAGAUCGAAUAUUGUUGACGCGGGACAGGGAGACGGCGGCGAACAUAGCUGCGAGGGCAGCCCAUAUCACAUGUGAAGAUUCGAGGGAAGCAACCUGGACAAGUACCUCUUUGGACAGGUUGCGAAGAAGGUAGGCAACAAUCUGUUGAUCCUGGAUCAACCAGGGGGCAUAGGCAGGGUUUGGAACAACCUGAUCCUUGCCGUCUUUGUCUUUGAUGGAGAUGGUUUUGGAAGGCUCUUCUAGGGUUUGAUCUAUAUAGCCAAACAAGCCGGCACCCAUUAUCUGGGAUCGUGCUUGAGCUCUCCAAAGGACAUAGUUCGUCUUGGAGAGGGGCUCGGAGGUGUUGUAGUUGAGAGCGGCGGUGAUGGGGGCGAUGGAGGACGACAUGGUGGACGGGACGUGGUGGGAUGUCGAUGGAGUUUAGCUAGAUGAGGUGGAAGGGCCUGCUCUGUAUACCAUGUAGAAAGAUAUAAUGCGCCUUAGCUCUCCAAUAGGAGGGCCGAAGGUUAUAUAUAUUGAUAUGGUGUGAUCGGUUGGGAACUAGAGAUAUACAUGAGAGGGAUAGAGAUAGAAAGUUAAACAUAAAGUUGUUACAACACACAAUAUCUAUCCCUACAAUAUCUCAUGUCUAAUAGUUUUGUCCCUGUUGCGCAGGAUUUUGAGCCUAAUGACGCCACUGACGUAAGGUACCUCAACCAUGAGCUCUCGUUCUCCACUAAGGACGCUUACAACCUUCUUGUCGGCUCGCCAUAUAAUGACACCAACGCUGCUCUCAGAUGGACCUCCCGCGUCCCAAUCAAGGUUCAAGUAUUCGGCUGGCUCCUCUUCUAAGACUGCCUCAAUCCAAGGCAAACCUCUUCCGCAAGACCAUCGUCACCGACACCAAUUGUGCGCGUUGCUCCGUGCCCUGCGAGGACGCCGCCCACAUAUUCCUCCUCUGCCCCGACUCUGCAGCUGUGUGGGCUGCUCUACAGCUCAAUGCUCCAUCCUCCAUCAACGAAAUGGGGGAGAAAGUUUGUGUUCCCUCGUUCCAGAUGACAUCUUGGCGCGGGGGGGGGGGGGGGGUCUCGGAUUUUCAACUAAUUUGCAAUUUUCAUCAGUAUCUUGUGGUGGUCAUGUUGUUUCAUAUUCCUCUGUGGUGGUGUCAUAGAGCCAAAGAGGUAUGUGUCAUCAUGGAGCCGAUUAUUCAGAUUUGAUAAGUUUAUGUGUGAGGUUGCUGUUGUUUGUUUGUUUCUUUAUGGAGUUAGAAUCUUUCCUUUACAUUAUGGUGAAGAUUUUGUGGUUCUAUCGGUAAUUGAGUUUGUGCAAGUGAAGGAGUGGCAAUAUCGCUGCUCAUGUCCAGCAGUAGUCUAUUUUCUGAAGUCUUGACAGUUUUUCAUCUUGCAAAGGUUGAUGCUAUGGAGAAGAUGACUUUAAGAGAUUUAAUUGUAAUUCUUAGUUGAACUGGUUACUUUGCAAUUUCUUGGAUCAAUGGUUGCGAGUACGAAUAAAGUUACAUGUGUUUCUAUCAAGAAAAUACUAGGGUUUUACAAACAGACAACUAUUUUUUUCUCAUAUGAUGAUGUUCUCCAAUAUUGCUCGUUUGUGCAAAUGAAAGAACUAGAAAAUUCUUUUCAGCUUUCCAAAAGCAAGAAAAUUUAUCCAUGUACAUUUUCUUCUUCUGCAUUAUACACUCAUGUUUUUGACAUACACUAAGAAGUAAGAACAAGGAAAAAAAUCACUUCGGAAAAUUAAAUUACAAGAUAUUAAUUGAAACACCAACAUUAACUGCCAGUCUGCCAUGAAAUGACUUUGUGGUGACGGUCUAGUAGUGUUGGUUGACGACGAAGCACUUCUCCCUGAUCUCCCCUUGGUCUCCGGUGAGUACCUCGAUGUUCCCCAUCUUGACCAUGGCCGCAGCAAACUUAGCCUGCCACACCCUCUCCACGGCGGCGUGGAACGCAACGAUGCCAGCGGUCCAUGGGCUGGUGAGCAGCGUCUGGUCGGAGGUUAGCGGCACCUUGCGCGCCAGUACGUUCUUGAAGUACUGGUUGUCGAACUCCCCCGGGGUGAUCGGGUCCAGCGCCACCGUGGUGCGGUCGCUCAUGUCGUCUGUGAACGGCGGGCAUUGCCGCCUCAGCUCCGCCGCGUAAGACCUGUCGAUGGAGGGGUCGGUCCGGCCGGCCUCAUCGGAGAAGUUGUGGAUCCGCUGCGUGAAGGAGGAGCAGUGGGAGCGGCCGAUGGUGUGCGCGCCCGAGAGCGUGACCAUGUCGUCGGCGGAGAGCCCCUUGCGCUCGAAGCUGGCCACGAGCUCGUCCACCUCGUCGGUGGGGAACGGCACGUUGUUGACUAGCACCUCGUCGGAGAUGGAGACGCGGCCGUCGCGGCGGCCGGCGGGGACGCCGUACUCGAUGCCGCCGGCGAGGUAGGCCCCGUCACGCGCGGCGAAAGCGAGCACGUCGGCGCAGG